AUGGGCUGUAACCUGCCACGCUCCUCUGUCAAUGGAAUUCUCCAGGCAAGAAUACUAGAAUGGGUUGCCAUUCCCGUCUCCAGGGUAUCUUCCCAACCCAGGGAUCGAACCCAGAUCUCCUGCAUUGCAGGCAGAUUCUUUACUGUCUGUACCAUGAGGGAAGCCCCCAAACUCCUUACCAAUAGACAACAAGCCUAUAUAAUUGUUUCCCCUUUUAUAUGGAAAUGUCAAAAAUAUUAAAAGCAAAUGCAAUUUUCACCUUACAAAUAACGAAAAAAUAUAGGUUAAAUUGUCAAGAUCAAGAAUGAGUCUGGACUAGAUAUCCGAAUUCUAAACUCCAGGUUCCCUAUUUUAAUACCUUGGGAAAGAGAUUCAUCCUGUGAAUGCUGAAUGUGAAUAAAGGUAAAGUAGCUGAGUUAUGCCCGCCUAAGUCCUUAGAUUCAACUAAGAUUUUCUUAUAACCAAUUAUACAUCUCAAGAGUUUCAGUUCCUAGCACAGAAUGAAUACUUUGUAAAAGGAAGAAAGCAUGCUAAUUAAUGUGAACUCUCCCAUCUUCUGUUUCUUCCCAACUUGUGUUGUUGUUGGGAGUUGGGGAGCAGAAUGAAGUAUUUUGGAGGAAACAAUAGUGUCAGAGAAGGACAGAGUCCCCUCUCCUUCCUCUUAAAAGCUUCACAACUCAGCUUCUAUGUGUUUUGUUUCCAGAAAGACCUCCCACAGAGCCAAUAUCUACGCUUUCAAGAUGGCCAGAGCCUGAUGGGCAGGACAGACAUAUAAUUGAAGUGCUUCCUACAGCCUAAGAAAUAAUAUUGAAACUUUGACAUUACAUAUUUCCUUAGGGAAUAUACUGAUUUCCUCCCAUACUAUUACAAAUUCCUGCAGAAUCCCAUAAUAUAAUCAAAGUCUAAUUGCAGACCAGUCAUCUAAUACAGGAAUUAUUUUUAUAGUCACUGAACAAAAGUUUAGGCACAUGGGCAAAUCAUAUUACAGAGUGAAAAAUGAAGAAACUGGUGAGACAAUACAAAUUCCAAAACUUUGAAAGCUGGGGGCUGGGAAGGCAAUUUACACCAUGAGGAAAAUUCUAUUUCCAGGACUAUUUGGAAUCCUAAUGAAGCAUGCAAUCUCUAUUAGUAACAGUUGUUUUUUUUUAAACCAGACAACAAAUGGUUAGGUUUUCCCACACAAACAUAGUGAAAGGAAAACUGCGUUUUAAAAACCAUAUGUUAGUUUUUGUUUCAUUUACUUGCAUAUUUAAACUAAAUAUGUACUUGGGGCUUGAUCUGUUCAAAAUAU
rnacentral:lncRNA from 1 species